GUGGUCCCUUCCGCUCUUCAGAAAUAUCCCGAGCGCCCUGCUCCGGCGGCCAGCCUGCCUCCUUCUCUGGCGCCAGGAGUGGGGCUGGGAAAGCUGACCGUGUUUGCUUCUUGAGGCUGUGUUGACUGGGUGGUGAUGAGCCCUCCGGGGAAGGUACUGACUGUGGUUUCCACAGGAGCCGAGCUGAGAGAGGAGAACCCGGAUGGGAGUCGCGUCUAGAAGCUCAGCGUCUUAAACCAGCGUCUCCCUCUGAACCAACCUGAGGAGGAAUGAGGGGACCACGGAGGUCUGGAAGCCAUCCUCUGCCGGGUGGAGCAAAGCAGGACUUUCUGACCUUCUGACAAAUGACAUUCAAGAGGAACGGAAGCUCAGGUGUUCCUAAUGACUGACUGAGGCUGUGCAAAUUGAUCAUUGUUCACUUCGUGAACCCGAAGUGAGCAUUUUCCUCUGUUCAGCCCAGUCUCCAUGUAUGUAUGGGAUCCGUGACUGGUUUGCUUUCUUCUUUUUUUCUCUCUUUUUUCUUUUCUGAAAGAGCAAUAAUGUCGACGCAGCUGUUGCCGCCUUUCUUACAAAUGCUGCACAGUGAAUCAUCUUAGCCUCUCUGUAAAAUUUUAACUUAAUGGAGUCCUGGCAUUUCUGAUGAGACGAGGAACUUAAUUUUAUAGAACAACCUAUUGAACAAGCUGUUCUUGGACAUUCCCAUCUCAACUAAAUGUUAAAAGUAUUAAAAUUCACAUUAGCGCAAGAGGAAA